rnacentral:tRNA from 1 species
GAGUCUGUGGCUCAGUUGGUAGAGUGCUUGCUUAGCAUGCAUGAAGUAAGUCAGUUUGGGUCUGAGCCCCAUCAAACACA